CAGCGUUUGAGGCGUAGGUCGACCGCCCGGUGGGACGACGUUUCUUCAAUCGCCGCUGGUGAGGUUCUGUUUCUCCGUCACAGUGACGCCGCGGACGAUCCCCCCACCAAUAGAGUUCUGGACGACCACGUAGACUGGGAUUUCAGCGUGCAACUAUCUUCCUCCCUCCCGGCUACGGUGGCGCAGGAUGCUCAGGUACUUGGGGUCACCGUGAGGGCCGACGAAGUUGGACAUGAAGUCCCUGGCGAGCGCUUUGUCUGCAGCGAGGUCGAAGUCUUCAUACCGGCGGCAGCGGCGGCGAGUGAGUGGGAGGCGGAGAAGGCCGGGAUGCAGGAGGGAGGCGGCAAACUGCUCUCUGUGCUAAUGGCUCGACGCAGCCACACCUUGGAUGGCUUAGAGGGGCAAGACGUGGUUUAAAUAGGCUGGAGCACCACGUCGGCUGUAACAGAAUCCAUCGAUUUCUGGGGGAUUUGUUCCGGAGUCCUGCCUGAUCUGUGCCAC
rnacentral:misc_RNA from 1 species